rnacentral:rRNA from 1 species
AACGAACGCUGGCGGCGUGGAUAAGACAUGCAAGUCGAACGGAAUAUACUGGUAGCAAUAUUGGUAUGUUCAGUGGCGAACGGGUGCGUAACACGUGGGUAACAUGCCGGGAAGUGGAGAAUAGCCCAGGGAAACUUGGAUUAAUGCUCCAUGUGGUCGCAAGACUAAAGACGGGGUAACCUGUCGCUUCCUGAUUGGCCCGCGGCCUAUCAGCUAGUUGGCGAGGUAACGGCUCACCAAGGCGACGACGGGUAGCUGGUCUGAGAGGAUGACCAGCCACACUGGAACUGAGACACGGUCCAGACACCUACGGGAGGCAG